rnacentral:rRNA from 1 species
AGCCAGAGGAAGGUAUUUUUGGUUUAACCUGCCCAAUGUAUUAUUGUAUGAAUGGCCGCGGUACCCUGACCGUGCUAAGGUAGCGUAAUCAGUUGGCUUUUAAAUGGAGUCAGGUAUGAAUGGGAUAACCGGGCUUAGCUGUCUCAAAGACAUUUAUUUGAAUUUACUGUUCAAGUGAAAAAGCUUGACGUAAGAAAAGGGACGAGAAGACCCUUAGAAUUUUGUUUAAAGAGGAUUAUCUCCUCUAUGAUUUUGUUGGGGCGACAGAGAAAUAAUUAAAACUUUCUUUAAAUUAAUCAGUCGGAAUUUUCAGGUUAGGAUAAAUUACCUGAGGGAUAACAGCAUAAUUUUAUAAAUAAGUUUGUGACCUCGAUGUUGGACUAGGAAGCUAAUGGGUUAGCUGCUCAUUGUGCGGAUUCUGUUCGAAUUUUAACUCCUA